rnacentral:rRNA from 1 species
UACGAAGGGUGCAAGCGUUAAUCGGAAUUACUGGGCGUAAAGCGUGCGUAGACGGCCUGUUAAGUCGGAUGUGAAAGCCCCGGGCUCAACCUGGGAAUGGCAUCCGAUACUGGUGGGCUGGAGUGCGGUAGAGGAGAGCGGAAUUCCCGGUGUAGCGGUGAAAUGCGUAGAGAUCGGGAGGAACAUCCGUGGCGAAAGCGGCUCUCUGGAACGGUACUGACGCUGAGACGCGAAAGCGUGGGGAGCGAACAGG